AGUGAACGCUGGCGGUAGGCCUAACACAUGCAAGUCGAACGGCAGCACAGUAAGAGCUUGCUCUUACGGGUGGCGAGUGGCGGACGGGUGAGGAAUACAUCGGAAUCUACUUUUUCGUGGGGGAUAACGUAGGGAAACUUACGCUAAUACCGCAUACGACCUACGGGUGAAAGCAGGGGAUCUUCGGACCUUGCGCGAUUGAAUGAGCCGAUGUCGGAUUAGCUAGUUGGCGGGGUAAAGGCCCACCAAGGCGACGACCCGUAGCUGGUCUGAGAGGAUGAUCAGCCACACUGGAACUGAGACACGGUCCAGACUCCUACGGGAGGCAGCAGUGGGGAAUAUUGGACAAUGGGCGCAAGCCUGAUCCAGCCAUACCGCGUGGGUGAAGAAGGCCUUCGGGUUGUAAAGCCCUUUUGUUGGGAAAGAAAAGCAGCAGGUUAAUACCCCGCUGUUCUGACGGUACCCAAAGAAAAAGCACCGGCUAACUUCGUG
rnacentral:rRNA from 1 species